rnacentral:rRNA from 1 species
CACGCUGUAAACGAUGUCGACUUGGAGGUUGUGCCCUNGAGGCGUGGCUUCCGGAGCUAACGCGUUAAGUCGACCGCCUGGGGAGUACGGCCGCAAGGUUAAAACUCAAAUGAAUUGACGGGGGCCCGCACAAGCGGUGGAGCAUGUGGUUUAAUUCGAUGCAACGCGAAGAACCUUACCUACUCUUGACAUCCACGGAACUUGCCAGAGAUGGCUUGGUGCCUUCGGGAACCGUGAGACAGGUGCUGCAUGGCUGUCGUCAGCUCGUGUUGUGAAAUGUUGGGUUAAGUCCCGCAACGAGCGCAACCCUUAUCCUUUGUUGCCAGCACUUCGGGUGGGAACUCAAAGGAGACUGCCGGUGAUAAACCGGAGGAAGGUGGGGAUGACGUCAAGUCAUCAUGGCCCUUACGAGUAGGGCUACACACGUGCUACAAUGGCGUAUACAAAGAGAAGCAAACUCGCGAGAGCCAGCGGACCUCAUAAAGUACGUCGUAGUCCGGAUUGGAGUCUGCAACUCGACUCCAUGAAGUCGGAAUCGCUAGUAAUCGUAGAUCAGAAUGCUACGGUGAAUACGUUCCCGGGCCUUGUACACACCGCCCGCCACACCAUGGGAGUGGGUUGCACCAGAAGUAGAUAGCUUAACCUUCGGGAGGGCGUUUACCACGGUGUGAUUCAUGACUGGGGUG